rnacentral:rRNA from 1 species
UACGAAGGGGGCUAGCGUUACUCGGAUUGACUGGGCGUAAAGGGCGCGUAGGCGGAUGGUACAGUCAGACGUGAAAUUCCUGGGCUCAACCUGGGGGCUGCGUUUGAUACGUGCUGUCUGGAGUUCGGAAGAGGGUCGUGGAAUUCUCAGUGUAGAGGUGAAAUUCGUAGAUAUUGGGAAGAACACCGGUGGCGAAGGCGGCGACCUGGUCCGAUACUGACGCUGAGGCGCGAAAGCGUGGGGAGCAAACAGG